rnacentral:rRNA from 1 species
AACGAACGCUGGCGGCGUGCCUAACACAUGCAAGUCGAGCGCGAAAGGAGCAAUCCGAGUAGAGCGGCGCACGGGUGCGUAACACGUGGAUAAUCUGCCUCAGGGUUGAGGAUAACCUUCCGAAAGGUUGGCUAAUACUCGGUAAGCUUACGGUGACUUCGGUCGCUGUGAGAAAACUAGACCUCUAUUUAUAAGUUUAGGCCCAGAGAUGAGUCCGCGGCCCAUCAGCUAGUUGGCGGGGUAACGGCCCACCAAGGCUACGAGGGGUAGCUGGUCUGAAAGGACGAUCAGCCACACUGGAACUGAGACACGGUCCAGACUCCUACGGGAGGCAGCAGUGGGGAAUUUUCCACAAUGGGCGAAAGCCUGAUGGAGCAACGCCGCGUGUGUGAUGAAGGUCUUCGGAUCGUAAAGCACUUUCGACUGGGACGAAAAACCUUUGGCUAACAUCCAGGGGCCUGACGGUACCAGGAGAAGAAGCACCGGCUAACUCUGUGCCAGCAGCCGCAGUAAUAC